rnacentral:rRNA from 1 species
GAUGGUUGGAUGAGGAAUUUACUUUCUUUAUUUUAAAAAUUAAAUUUAAUUUUUGAGUUAAAAAGCUUAAGUUUAUUUAAAGGACGAGAAGACCCUAUAGAACUUUACUUUUCUUUUUAUAGGUUUAUUUUUUGUAAGUAAUUUUUUACUAUUUUGGGAAAAGUUUUAUUGGGGUGAUAAAAAAAAAUUUUUAACUUUUUUUAUUUUUCUCAUUUAUUUAUGAUUUUUUGAUCCUUUAUUAUGGAUAAUAAGAUUAAGUUACCUUAGGGAUAACAGCGUUAUUAUUUUAGAGAGUUCAUAUCGAUAAAAUAGUUUGCCACCUCG